rnacentral:misc_RNA from 1 species
CCGAGUUAGGGUGUCGCCUCGGCGCGCCCGACCUCCCAACCCUUUGUCUACCUUACCACACCGUUGCUUCGGCAGGCCGCGCCGACCCCCGGGGAUCUCCCCUGGGGCGAGGCCGUCGGGGGCUUCGUGCCCCGGGCUCGCGCCUGUCGAUGGCCACUCUCAAACUCAUGUCUAAACGUGUCGUCUGAGUAAACAUUAAAAUACAAACCA